AGUGGGAAGAAGAGAAACUUCAACACACUCGAAGAAAACAGACACAACACCUCCAUCAGAACAGCCUCAGAGUAAAACAACAAACUCUCCACCUGCAUCAUCCUCAACAACACUGGAAGUGGGAAGAGGAGAAACGUCAACACAGUCGAGGAAAACCGACACAACACCUCGAUCAGAACAGCCUCAGAGUAAAACAACAAACUCUGCACCAUCCUCAACAACACUGGAACAAAAGAAACACAUCAGCCUCCAUCUAGUUUUCGGCAUUCUGGCGGUUUUAUUGUUGGUGAUGCCUGGUGUAGUGACAUUUAUUUGUUGG